rnacentral:rRNA from 1 species
UAAAUUAGGGUUCGAUUUCGGAGAGGGAGCAUGAGUAACGGCUACCACAUCUAAGGUAGGCAGCAGGCGCGUAAAUUACCCAAUCCUGACUCAGGGAGGUAGUGACAAGAAAUAGCAAACCGGGAACCUCAUGGUUUCACGGUAUUGCAAUGAGAACAAUUUAAAACCCUUAGCGAGAAUCAAGUGGAGGACAAGUCUGGUGCCAGCACCCGCGGUAAUUCCAGCUCCACUAGCGUAUAUUAAAGUUGUUGCAGUUAAAAAGCUCGUAGUUGAACCUCUGUCUGGGGCUAGUUUUGGCUUUGGUCAGGCUAGUUCUAGGCAUCCGCCUACAAGACUUAGAGGGCAUUCAGUUGUUCACUAGGAGGAGUAGGCAUUUUACUUUGAAAAAAUUAGAGUGUUUAAGGCAGGCAAUCGCCCGCAUAUAUUAGCAUGGAAUAAUAGAAUAGGACACUUUUCCUUUUCGUUGGUUAUUGGAAUCGUGUAAUGAUUAAUAGGGACAGUUGUGGGCAUUUGUAUUUAAUUGUCAGAGGUGAAAUUCUUGGAUUUAUUAAAGACAAACUAACGCGAAAGCAUUUGCCAAGGAUGUUUUCAUUAAUCAAGAACGAAAGUUAGGGGAUCAAAGACGAUCAGAUACCGUCCUAGUCUUAACUAUAAACUAUUCCGACUCAAUGUUUGACUGGCUUAUAUAACCAGUUGAGCGUUGUAUGAGAAAUCAAAGUCUUUAGGUUCUGGGGGGAAUAUGGUUGCAAAGCUGAAACUUAAAGGAAUUGACGGAAGAGCACAACCAGGAGUGGAUUCUGCGGCUUAAUUUGACUCAACACGGGGAAACUUACCAGGUUAAAACAAUAGUGGGAUUGACAGUUUGAAAGCGCUUUCUUGAUUGGUUGGGUGGUGGUGCAUGGCCGUUCUUAGUUGGUGGAGUGAUUUGUCUGCUUAAUUGCGUUAACGAACGAGACCUUAACCUGCUUACUAGACUGGCGAUCAUCAAUCGUUAGCUCUUCUUAGAGGGACUUUGGUUGUUUUAACUCCAAGGAAGUUUGAGGCAAUAACAGGUCUGUGAUGCCCUUAGAUAUCCUGGGCCGCACGCGUCAUACAAUGACUAGUUCAGAAAGUUUUCUCCUGACCCGAAAGGGGAUGGGUAAUCUUGAUAAUACUAGUCGUGUUAGGGAUCGAUCUUUGCAAUUAUAGAUCUUGAACGAGGAAUUCCUAGUAAGUGCGGUUCAUCAGACCGUACUGAUUACGUCCCUGCUCUUUGUACACACCGCCCGUCGCUUCCACCGAGUGGGUGGUCCGGUGAGAUAAUUGAACUUCGCAGGUAACUGAGAGGAAAGAUUAUCAAACCUAUCCACCCCGAGGAAGAAGAAGUCGUAACAAGGUU